UCCUCGGUGGCUCACGUGGUAGAGAAUCUGCCUGCAGUGCAGGAGACCCAGGUUCAAUCCCUGGGUUGGGAA
rnacentral:tRNA from 1 species